UACGUAGGGUGCAAGCGUUUGUCCGGAAUUAUUGGGCGUAAGAGCUCGUAGGCGGUCUGUCGCGUCUGCUGUGAAAACCUAGGGCUUAACUCUGGGCGUGCAGUGGGUACGGGCAGGCUAGAGUGCGGUAGGGGAGACUGGAAUUCCUGGUGUAGCGGUGAAAUGCGCAGAUAUCAGGAGGAACACCGGUGGCGAAGGCGGGUCUCUGGGCCGUAACUGACGCUGAGGAGCGAAAGCAUGGGGAGCGAACAGG
rnacentral:rRNA from 1 species